GAAGCACAUGGAUAAUAGGCAAAUCCACAUCAAUCUUAGAGGGCGUUUGGAUACGUGCAUUUCAUUUCAAAUGAUGGAUUUUAAAUGACAGGAUUUGAGUUGUCAUUUCAAACUAUCAGCUUUAUACUAAUAUUUGAAUGUCCUGGAUUUCAAAUGAAAUCCAAAUCUAUAUUCCCAAACAGAUUAUGUGUUCAAAUUCAGAAUUUCAAAUGAAAUCCAGGUUCCCAAACGGACCAUGAAGUAAAUUACUCUGAUUAAUUCGAAAUUUACCCUAAUAUUCAAGUACUACGACACAUGUAUAUUCAUAAGACCUUAGAUUCCAAUUCUAAAUAUCUAUUAAUAUCCCCAGCCAAAAUUAUUUCAUCAGCAAACCAAGAUAUACCUCUUCACUUAACAUGUCGAAAACAAGAGUACAGGGGAAUGCGAGAUGCAUAACAGCCCUUGUAUACAAAAUUCACACGCGCAAGUCAGUUAUAUAUAUAGCCAAUAAUAGGCAACACUAAACUAAAAGAAUUUAGGUCUUUAGCAGGCUCACUUUCAAUCUUUCAGUCUAUCCAACAAAUUAAAAAUAUUUAAAUUAAUAAAAUAGCAACUAACUCUUGGUUCAGCGGUAUCUACCUUGCUUCCUUUACCGGAUGUCGAGGGUUCGAUCCUUCUCAAAGACAAAACGAGUGUGUGCGUGGGUUUAAUCAUCAAAACAAUAACCAGCAUCACAAAUCGACUAUGUAGGUAAAUCCUCUUAACAGUUAAUGACGAAUAAUAUAAAGUUCUAAGUUGUGGUGCUUAAAUAAUCGCCCAUUUAGUUAAACCUAUCCUUCAACUGCUUUUAACCAAUAGAUGUAAUAUUUCGGAAUGGGGGAUCUUUGCUGAUUGCAGUUUUGGAUAUUAUAUUCAAAGGGAUCAAAUAAUUCAGAACCAAACCAGAUUCCAAAACAUUCCGUAUUAGUACACCAAGAAUACCUAUACUAUUCUAGUGUUCUUAUCCACUAAAAUCAACAAGAGUUAUCAUAAAGACACAACAAGUAAAAAUUCGGAGAAACAGCUACAAUCCCAUGAAGAAAUUGGCCUAGUCAGUAUGACCCCAGAUUCAUCCUAGCGAUCUCCAAAAUUANUUCCUCCCACCUCACACACUUAAGAAUACCUCAUGCACCAUUGGAAAUGACAAACAUUGAAACAACCAAGGAAGCACAUGGAUAAUAGGCAAAUCCACAUCAAUCUUAGAGGGCGUUUGGAUACGUGCAUUUCAUUUCAAAUGAUGGAUUUUAAAUGACAGGAUUUGAGUUGUCAUUUCAAACUAUCAGCUUUAUACUAAUAUUUGAAUGUCCUGGAUUUCAAAUGAAAUCCAAAUCUAUAUUCCCAAACAGAUUAUGUGUUCAAAUUCAGAAUUUCAAAUGAAAUCCAGGUUCCCAAACGGACCAUGAAGUAAAUUACUCUGAUUAAUUCGAAAUUUACCCUAAUAUUCAAGUACUAC
rnacentral:lncRNA from 1 species